AUUAAGGUGGCAGAGACUGGUUAAAAUGCAAAAGGUCUAAGCCCUUUUCACAGGGGUUCAAGUCCCCUCCUUAAUA
rnacentral:tRNA from 1 species